UACAGAGGUCUCAAGCGUUGUUCGGAUUCAUUGGGCGUAAAGGGUGUGUAGGUGGCGCCGUAAGUCGGGUGUGAAAUUUCGGAGCUUAACUCCGAAACUGCAUUCGAUACUGCGGUGCUUGAGGACUGGAGAGGAGACUGGAAUUCAUGGUGUAGCAGUGAAAUGCGUAGAGAUCAUGAGGAAGACCAGUGGCGAAGGCGGGUCUCCUGGACAGUUCCUGACACU
rnacentral:rRNA from 1 species